rnacentral:rRNA from 1 species
UACAGAGGGUGCAAACGUUGCUCGGAGUUACUGGGCGUAAAGCGCGUGUAGGCGGUGCCGCACGUCCGGUGUGAAAGCCCGGGGCUCAACCCCGGAAGUGCACUGGAUACGACGGCGCUGGAGUCCUGAAGAGGAGGGCGGAAUUCCCGGUGUAGAGGUGAAAUUCGUAGAUAUCGGGAGGAACACCAGUGGCGAAGGCGGCUCUCUGGACAGGUACUGACGCUGAGACGCGAAAGCGUGGGUAGCAAAC